rnacentral:rRNA from 1 species
UACGUAGGGUGCGAGCGUUGUCCGGAAUUAUUGGGCGUAAAGAGCUUGUAGGCGGUUUGUCGCGUCUGCCGUGAAAACCCGGAGCUCAACUCCGGGCCUGCAGUCGAUACGGGCAGACUGGAGUUCGGCAGGGGAGACUUGAAUUCCUGGUGUAGCGGUGAAAUGCGCAGAUAUCAGGAGGAACACCGGUGGCGAAGGCGGGUCUCUGGGACGGUACUGACGCUGAGACGCGAAAGCGUGGGGAGCGAACAGG